UCAGAUAUGGUGUAGCGGUAACAUCGCCUCUUUGAAUACUAUAGGCAUCUUCUAUCUUUAUGAGGCCGUCCCGGGUUCGAACCCCGGUGUCUGAG